rnacentral:rRNA from 1 species
AAGAGCGGCGGACGGGUGAGUAACGCGUGGGUAACCUGCCCUGUACACACGGAUAACAUACCGAAAGGUAUGCUAAUACGAGAUAAAAUACUUUUAUCGCAUGGUAGAAGUAUCAAAGCUUUUGCGGUACAGGAUGGACCCGCGUCUGAUUAGCUAGUUGGUAAGGUAACGGCUUACCAAGGCGACGAUCAGUAGCCGACCUGAGAGGGUGAUCGGCCACACUGGAACUGAGACACGGUCCAAACUCCUACGGGAGGCAGCAGUGGGGAAUAUUGCACAAUGGGCGAAAGCCUGAUGCAGCAACGCCGCGUGAGCGAUGAAGGCCUUCGGGUCGUAAAGCUCUGUCCUCAAGGAAGAUAAUGACGGUACUUGAGGAGGAAGCCCCGGCUAACUACGUGCCAGCAGCCGCGGUAAUACGUAGGGGGCUAGCGUUAUCCGGAAUUACUGGGCGUAAAGGGUGCGUAGGUGGUUUCUUAAGUCAGAGGUGAAAGGCUACGGCUCAACCGUAGUAAGCCUUUGAAACUGGGAAACUUGAGUGCAGGAGAGGAGAGUGGAAUUCCUAGUGUAGCGGUGAAAUGCGUAGAUAUUAGGAGGAACACCAGUUGCGAAGGCGGCUCUCUGGACUGUAACUGACACUGAGGCACGAAAGCGUGGGGAGCAAACAGG